rnacentral:rRNA from 1 species
AGUGAACGCUGGCGGUAGGCCUAACACAUGCAAGUCGAACGGCAGCACAGUAAGAGCUUGCUCUUACGGGUGGCGAGUGGCGGACGGGUGAGGAAUACAUCGGAAUCUACUUUUUCGUGGGGGAUAACGUAGGGAAACUUACGCUAAUACCGCAUACGACCUACGGGUGAAAGCAGGGGAUCUUCGGACCUUGCGCGAUUGAAUGAGCCGAUGUCGGAUUAGCUAGUUGGCGGGGUAAAGGCCCACCAAGGCGACGAUCCGUAGCUGGUCUGAGAGGAUGAUCAGCUACACUGGAACUGAGACGCGGUCCAGACUCCUACGGGAGGCAGCAGUGGGGAAUAUUGGACAAUGGGCGCAAGCCUGAUCCAGCCAUACCGCGUGGGUGAAGAAGGCCUUCGGGUUGUAAAGCCCUUUUGUUGGGAAAGAAAAGCAGCAGGUUAAUACCCCGCUGUUCUGACGGUACCCAAAGAAUAAGCACCGGCUAACUUCGUG